rnacentral:lncRNA from 1 species
GUAAUUUGAUUUGAUUUUUCCUCUAACAUUGCGCGACGAGAGUCGCGAGUAUGCAUGCAUAUAUGACUGAAUUUGAUUGAUGAUAAAAAUGUGUUAAAGGUUGGUGGUGGAGUAGGUAAAAGGGUAAGAGGAGAAGUUCUCAAAAGAAUCAAUAAAAGGGUGGUGGUGGUGGUGAUGCAUAUGAGAUUCCAAAGACAGGUGGUAUAGGCCCUUCAUAUACAGGUGGUGGUGGCGGCGAUGAAUAUACCGGUGGUGGAGGUGAGGGAUAUGCAUAUACUGGUGAUGGUGGGGGUGAGGUGUAUACCGGUGGUGGCGGUGAGGGAUAGGCAUAUACUGGUGAUGGUGGUGGUGAUGGGGAUGGUGGUGGGUGAUAAGGUGUUUGAUGUGGCGCUGGCGAUGAUGGUGGUGGAGGUUCUACACAAGGUGGCGGUGGAGGUGGUGGAGGUUCUACACAAGGUGGUGGAGAUGGCGGUGGUGGUGAAUAGACUGGUGGUGGAGGUGAGUGUACUGGAGGAGGUGGUGGGGGUGAUAAAUAUGGAUAUACGGGUGGAGGAGGUGAGUGAGGUGGUGGUGGUGGCGAA